rnacentral:rRNA from 1 species
CCCGGGGGAAGGUUUACCGGACCCGGGGCGGGACGCGGCCUAGUGGCGGACGGGUGAGUAACGCGUGGGCAAUCUGCCCCUACCGGGGGAUAACACCUGGAAACAGGUGCUAACACCGCAUGACAGGCGGGGGCGCAUGCCCCGGCCUUGAAAACUCCGGUGGUACGGGAUGAGCCCGCGUCCGAUUAGCCAGUUGGCGGGGUAACGGCCCACCAAAGCGACGAUCGGUAGCCGGCCUGAGAGGGUGGACGGCCACAUUGGGACUGAGACACGGCCCAAACUCCUACGGGAGGCAGCAG